UUCCGGUUGAUCCUGCCGGAGGCUACCGCUAUUGGAGUUCGAUUAAGCCAUGCGAGUCGCGAGAAAUUAGAUUCUCGGCGUACCGCUCAGUAACACGUGGGUAACCUGCCCUAUGCUGGAUAAUAACCUCGGGAAACUGAGAAUAAUGAUCCAUAGUUCACUACGCCUGGAACGGUGAGUGGAUGAAAGCCCCGGCGGCAUAGGAUGGGCCUGCGGCGUAUCAGGUUGUAGGGGGUGUAAAGGACCUCCUAGCCAUCGACGCGUACGGGUGUUGGGAGACAUAGCCCGGAGAUGGAUUCUGAGACACGAAUCCAGACCCUACGGGGUGCAGCAGGCGCGAAAACUUCACACUGCAGGAAACCGUGAUGAGGGAACUCCAAGUGCACGCACUUAGUGUGUGCUUUUUUCAACUAUUAAUCGGUUGAAGAAUAAGGGCUGGGAAAGACCGGUGCCAGCCGCCGCGGUAAUACCGGCAGCUCGAGUGGUCGUCGCUUUUAUUGGGCCUAAAACGUCCGUAGCCUGUUUGGUAAAUCUGUGGGUAAAUCAACCAGCUUAACUGGUUGAAUUCUGCAGAGACUGCCAGACUAGGGACCGGGAGAGGUGUGGGGUACUCUAGGGGUAGGGGUAAAAUCCUGUCAUCCUUAGAGGACCACCAGUUGCGAAGGCGCCACACUAGAACGGAUCCGACGGUCAGGGACGAAGCCUAGGGGCACGAACCGGAUUAGAUACCCGGGUAGUCCUAGGUGUAAACGCUGUGGACUUGAUGUUGGGGGUGCUCCGAGCACUCUCAGUGUCGAAGCGAAGGUGAUAAGUCCACUGCCUGGGAAGUACGGUCGCAAGGCUGAAACUUAAAGGAAUUGGCGGGGGAGCACCGCAACCUGAGGAUUGUGCGGUUUAAUUGGAUCAACGCCGGA
rnacentral:rRNA from 1 species